AGAGUUUGAUCCUGGCUCAGAAUGAACGCUGGCGGCAGGCCUAACACAUGCAAGUCGAACGGGCACUUCGGUGCUAGUGGCGGACGGGUGAGUAACGCGUGGGAACGUGCCCUUUGGUUCGGAAUAGCCCCGGGAAACUGGGAGUAAUACCGGAUACGCCCUUCGGGGGAAAGAUUUAUCGCCAAAGGAUCGGCCCGCGUUGGAUUAGGUAGUUGGUGGGGUAAUGGCCUACCAAGCCGACGAUCCAUAGCUGGUUUGAGAGGAUGAUCAGCCACACUGGGACUGAGACACGGCCCAGACUCCUACGGGAGGCAGCAGUGGGGAAUCUUAGACAAUGGGGGAAACCCUGAUCUAGCCAUGCCGCGUGAUCGAUGAAGGCCUUAGGGUUGUAAAGAUCUUUCAGUUGGGAAGAUAAUGACGGUACCAACAGAAGAAGCCCCGGCUAACUCCGUGCCAGCAGCCGCGGUAAUACGGAGGGGGCUAGCGUUAUUCGGAAUUACUGGGCGUAAAGCGCACGUAGGCGGAUUGGAAAGUCAGAGGUGAAAUCCCAGGG
rnacentral:rRNA from 1 species